AGGGGCAGGAAAACAGAGACGUGGCCAACUAGAGGAGGCUCCUCAGAGGCUGCUGGGAUGAGGAGUGACAAAAGACCUGCAGCAGUGGCAAGCUAAGUGAGAAGGGAUAAAUGUCCCAUGGAAGUCACUUGGUAUGGUAAUGGCAAAAGAUCUCUGAAUGCAACAAGGUUUAGUGCUCAUUCUUAAGAAGUUUUGUGUAUUGUCCUAGAUAUUGAACAUUGCUGCUGCUCCCAAAACAUUCCUACUAACAAACAUCUUACGUAUGGACUGUUUGAGGUAUUGAGAUAAAAGAGAAUGACUUCUGUUUUGAGGACUGUGUGAGGAGUAGAGAAGAGACCAGGUGCCUUGAGAAAUACAGAAGGGAGAUGAGAAGGAAGGAGGCCUGAGUUUCUCAAACCCUGCACAUUCCCCAGAAAUGACUAUUUUCAGGACUGACCGUUGGCUAGUUCUUGGGAAGCAAAUGCUGAGUUUUGGAAUGUUCUGCCUGGGAAGAGUGUUUUUGUACGGCUGAGGCCUUACGCCACAUGGCACCGGUUGAACAGCUUGUUAAUGCUAGCAAUGUGAUUUAUGUUGAAUGCCUAAUUCUGCUCUGGAGAACUGGAAUCUGAGUAUCUGAGUUCAGCCAUAUAAAUGCUUCAGGUCUGCAGGACUGGCUCCCAACAAGAACCCUGGACACAAAGGCUCAGGAAAAGCAGUUGAAAUACCAUUAGUUAACAGAUUGCCCAAUGAAGUCGAUGACAACUGUGAUAACAAGUUACUCACUAUCACAGCGUCUCCAAGAGAUGAACAGUGGAUGAUGCUUCCAAAGCACAGAUGUCCCUCUCCUCCUCAACCUUCUCUCCCCAGAAAGAUGUCAACACUGUGGAGAUUGUGCUAUGAAGAUACCUGGUGUGGCAUUGCAAUAGAUGAAAUAUUAAGGGCAAUUCAACAAUUUUCUGAACAAAUACAUGGAUUUAACUUGAAGUUGAAUUUAAUUUGACUUCAAGAAAAAUUAUAUUUCUGGUCCUCCUAUGAUCAUGCACUAAGAAUUAUUUAACUGCAGAUACAAUUGUUACCUUUAGAGCUAGAAGGCCUCAUUUUAGAAUUAAAAUGAAUGGCAACCCAGACAGAUAAAGUCGAGUCGUGAUCAUCCCACUGCGGAGGCAGAGCCAGUGCUGGCCAUCCCCCGACCACCCCAACACACUCCAGGUCUCACACAUUUAAUCUCUCUCUCUGCCAAGGGAAUUUUUUCUUUCCAUUUAUUCUUAGAAACAACUAAGGGAGUUUUAAGUUAAAUACAUGCUGCCAAAUUGAAUCCAAGGAAACUAAAGUCAAAUAUAUUAGCAAACACUUAAUGUCCUCUCCAUUUUGACAUUUCUCCCUCAAUUCCUAUUUCUGAGUAAAGGCUGUUCAGAUGAAUAAAAACAUAUUUUCAGAAAUCUGAGCUCAUAAGACCUAUAGGUCUGUGAAGUCACAGACCGUGCACUGUCAGCAGUCAGCAAUUCUGCUGGGUUGAAUUGGCAUGUUUCAAACUAUGUAUUUUUGUUAAAAAAAAAAAAAAAGGUGUGUAAAUGCAUUUACAAAAUAGUUUGUACUCUUUCCCAGUAAUUCAUAGUUGCCUUCACAGCACCCAGUUCCGGAUUUCACACCAAGCCUUUGCUGAGGAUAUGAGAGUAAUAAAAAGGGGAGCCCUGGUUCUUCCUCUCCUUUAGUGUCUUUCCUGGAAGUGGACUGCGAGAAGAGCUUCUUCAGCCACCUUCUGCCUGCAGACAACCUCCAUGAGUUUGCUUUAGAAGAAGGCUUCAAUUUGAAGAAAGUCAAAUAAAACAAGGUAGACUAUCAUUCCCAUAGAUGCAAAAGAAGGUGAACCCAGAUUCAGAUCCUAAGUCAGCCAUUCUGCAGGGAACUCUUAGGUGUCCAGGUCAGAGGCUCUACUCAAACUGCCUCAUCAAUAUUGAUUCCUCAGUUGUUGCAAAUAUACCACACUCAUGCACGUUGUUAAUAAUAAAAGGGGAACUGUAGAGGACGGGGUGGUGUAUAUGAGAACUCUGUACUUUCUGUGUAAUUUUUCUAUAAACCUAAAAUAGCUCUAAAAAUAAAGUUUAUUCAGAAACAAAAAAAUUAAUCAUCUAUCCUGAGUAAAUAUUAUAUAAGAUUUAUCUAAGUUUUUACCUACUUCUUCAAAUGUGCUGACCUUUACUGAAAAUCUUUUAUACAUUUUGAAUAUUCUUUUCACUCUAUUGAAAUGCAGUCCUCCUGGUAAUUUUGUUUUGUACUGUAUACCCAGUGUAUUCUACAUCACCAAAAGCUUUAGAGUAAGUUUCCCAGCCUACCAACCCCACUAAAUGCCC
rnacentral:lncRNA from 1 species